ensembl:lncRNA
AAUAAAUGUAUGUUUUAUCUCUGAAAUAUUUGUACAACAAUUUCUCAUAUUUGCUGUUCUUUGACAUAAAAUGUAUUUUUAUUAAAUAUCUAUUUAUAUACAUAUUAACAUUUUUGUAUUUGAACUUCUCUUGCUCCAGGUGACUGUGGCUGUACUGUACUGUGCACCAGUCUCUCGUGCACAGUACAGAGUCCCCGUUCUGGCCCUCUGCAUAGAAAAUAUUGGAAAAAGGGUUUUUUUCUUGUGUUCCAGGUCCCGUUCUCGGAGCUCCUCCAGUUCCAGGUCUGGAUCUGGCUCCCGGUCCGCAUCCAGAUCCAGCUCCCGGUCUAGGAAGGGAUCCUCUCCCGGGCAGGGCUCCCCCCACUCCCGGUCGUCCACGCCCAAGCGCAGCCAGUCGCCCGAGGCGGGGCGCAAGCGUAGCCGCUCCAGGUCCUCGUCCGGGGGGAGGAAGCGCAGGCGCUCACGGACCCAGUCGUCUGAAAGACGCCGUGGACAUUCCUCCGGAUCCUCUCACUCGGGCUCCAGUUCAAAAAAGAAAUCGGUUUAGAUGCCCCCCCUUAAAAAUCAGAGCAAUGAUACAGGGCGAAAAAAAGGACCCUAGUUAUAAGUGCAUGUUGUGUUUGAAAUAAGAAGAAAAAAAAAAAAGACCCGCCAAGUUCCUGAUGCUGUUUGAUUUCAUAAAACGUUGCAGCUCAUCUGUCUGACUCCCCGCUUAAAAUACGAGAGCGCUAUCCGUUUUCUCAUGCUACCCGCCACUCCUUAAUACAUUCUGCUCUGUGACAUGCGUGUGUGUAACUUUAGGUGUCAAAAUAAAAUACAAAUGUCUGGUCAUGUAAGAUAAAAAAGACAUACUGUGAAGAGGUUGUAUCCAUUUUAAAAGUCAUUUUAUUUUAUUUUAUUGGAUUCGCCUGCAAAACCUAAUCAAUAUAGGUUUAGUUUUUUUUUCCGUUCAAAGAAAAAUAAAUUAAUUUUAAUUUGGCAAGAAAUAGGCUAUUUUCAAGGUAGUAUUUGAGGUUUGGGUCAGUUUUGCUGCGUUUUGUGUUCAAGGUAAGUAUUUUUCUUUUACUUUAGAUUAUUGUUUGGAUUUUUUGUCUGCUCUGUCAUUAAUUGCACACAUUCUCUCAAGCAUAACGUUUGAAAUCUUAUAGCGGAUCCUGACAACAAAAAAAAACAAACAAAAAAUAUCAAAUGGUUUGUUAAAACCUUGGCCCUCCGUCACUGAGAAAAUACACGUUAAGAAAAUCGAAUUAAUUCCCAUGAUGACGCAGCAUUGAUAGAAUGUGCUUUUGGGUGUUUUUCUUCUGUUAAAAAAAAAAGGGUAAUAUGUAAAACAACAUGUAAAUAAAAUGCCUUGAUUUAACUGGUG